AGAUAGCUGACGAGUCCUAAAUAGGACGAAAUGGGCAUCCUGGAU
rnacentral:hammerhead_ribozyme from 1 species